UGUGUGUGUGUGUGUGUGUGUGUGUGUGUGUGUGUGUGAAUGUCUGUGGGUAUCAAGGGGAAAGAAUGAACACAACACAAUUCCCUGCUGGGGUCCAUCUCAAAGAGCCAUGGCACCAGGAGAGGAAUUCUUCCUCUCUUACUCACCUGCCAAUCAAUGUCUUCUCCACUGAAAGUGCCCCACUUUUACAGAUGUGUCUGUCAAUCAUGGCAGAUGUGUGUUUGUGUGUGUGGAGUUGUGUGUUGUGAGAGGGUGUUAUGUUGUUUUGUGAGGGCAUUGUGUCGAUGUGUCACAUUGUGUGUUCAACUGUGUGGCUGGUGGUAGAUAUGCAGGUGGUGGGAACACCAAAGGGAUUUAUGUGUGUAUGUGUGGUUCCCCUUCCCAUUUAUAUAAUGUGUGAUUUUUUUCAAUCAAUGUGUGGAUGUUUAUUUGUGUGUGUGCUUAUUAUAUCUGUGGUGUGUUUUGUCUGUGGCUUGGGGCUUUGGGCUAGGGUGAGUCGCCCGUUGCUGCUGUGAAUCACAUGUGUGACUCAUGUGGACAAAACCCCAUCCAUGGCACUCUGGUCUCUCUGCCCAUGCCAUCUGUGCUGUGGGGCCUUGGCUCUGGUGGUUGGGGGGGGGGCCUCUGGUCCUCCCUGGGGAAAUCAUGUCUACCCCAGCCUCCCUCUUCAUCACCUUACGGUGUGUGUGUGUGUGGGGGGGGGGGGCUGUCCCUUACCAUCUCACUUUCUCCUCUGGUCUUCGGUUUCCUGCCUGAUGUUGGGUUCCCUGCCAAACCUCUCUUCUUUUGGGGCUCUUUGUGUGGCUGUACAGCCCUGUUCUCACCUUCCUCUCAGCCCUUCCUCUCAGCUUCUCGGUCCCCACACUGGCUCUCCACUCGCAAAUCCUCAUUUUGUCUGGUCCAAACCCCCCUACAUAAAUCCUGUUAAGAAGCUUGUGAAUGUGGUGUUAUGGAGAUGAGGUGGGCAGAACUGUUAUUGGUCUGGAAGAUGGAAUUUCCCCUGAGCCUUCUCACAACAUGCAGCUUUUUUUUUUUUUUUUAAAUCUUGAACUGGCUGAGGAGGGGGUGAUUUUUGGCCAAAAACCCCUGUCCCCCCAACUAAGUGUGCCCAGACGUCUUGCCUUAUAGGACAUUAAAGUGUGUGUCUUUGUAUAUAUCAGUGUGUCUUUGAGUGUGUGGUUAUCGCUCUGUCUGUCUGUCUCCGCUGAAGGCUCUGCUGAAAGAGUGCAGGAGUGGCAGGAUGAGAGAAUGACAGAAAUAAUGACACCAAAUGAGAAGCGGCGGGACGGGUGAGGAAACAGCACGGAGCGGAGCGGAGCGACUGCAUUAUCGCUCGGCGGCACAGGAAACGCACACAGAGUGCUCUGGCGUCUGGAGAAAGGGGAGGGGGAUUUUUGCAAAGGGCCUCUCACCCCCUUCUUUUAGCAUGUUUCUAAAGACGGGUCCAAGUGGAAGUGGAAAUCCGGUCCUUGCAGCCGGUGAGUCAGUAGCUGGUUUGGAGGAACGCUGUUGGAAAAACUCACCGCACAGAAGGGAGGAGUAUCAAGAAGUAAUGGAAUUUUUAUUUCAUAUACGGCUCCAUCAGGAUGUUUUUUUUUCCUCUUCUCCCUCCUCCUGAAUCUGAGGCCUUUGUAGUUUUUUUUCCCUUUUUUCGGGAGGGGGUAAUAUCGAGAGGCAUUGCGAAAAUAUGUGUGUUUACACCGGAGACCUCGGUCUGCAGACAUGCUGUUGGGUUGAUUUGCUUUUCCUGGAAGCGUAUAAAAAAGAGUUGUGUUUAUGGAUGAUUGCUGUGGGAAGCAGGCUCCUUGGUUUUUUUAAUGCACACUUUCACAUCAGAGGAAUGCUUUUACUUCAGCUGUGCUUCAGUGUGUGUUUGUGUGUGUGUGUGUGUGUGUGUGUGUGUGUCCGUGGCUUUGU
ensembl:lncRNA